rnacentral:rRNA from 7 species
UUAUAAGCGAAUGGCGGAUGCCUUGGGAUAUUGAUGCGAUGAAGGACGUGGCGUGCCUGCGAUAAGCAUCGGGGAGGUGGCUAGCAACCUUUGAUCCGGUGAUUUCCGAAUGAGGAAACUCAAUAUGAUUAAUCUCAUAUUAUCUGUCCAGCUUUUUGUACUUUAAAAAUUUAAAGUUUAAAAAGUUGGACAGAAGCGUACCCGGCGAAGUGAAACAUCUCAGUAGCCGGAGGAAAAGAGAACAAAGUUAUCCCCUUAGUAGUGGCGAGCGAACAGGGGGAAGCCUAAACAGAAUCUUUAGAUUCUGGGUUGUAAGGUUGUAGCGUCAGGAGCACUACCUUUUGCUUCGCAAAAGGAAUUAAAAAUUUAAAAUUUUAAAUUUAAAAUUUUUCGCGCGGAGCGCGAGGUAAUGCUUGCUGAGAGAGAAUACAAAAUAAUAGUGUUAAAAGAAGCACCCUGGAAAGGGGCGCCAUAGAGGGUAAUAGCCCCGUAUUCUAAAAUACUUAUUAUGCUCUUUGCUAUGAUUCUUGAGUACUGUCGGGAAUGAUAACCUGGCAGGAAGCAGGCCGAACUAUCGGCCAAGGCUAAAUAAUCAAUAUCACCGAUAGUGAACCAGUACCGUGAGGGAAAGGUGAAAAGUAGGGGGGUGACCCCGGUGAAAUAGUACCUGAAACCAUUUGCUUACAAAGAGUCGGAGCCCCGCCUUUGGCGGGGUGACGGCGUGCUUUUUGCAGAACGAGCCAACGAGUCUGGAUAUAUAAUUGUCUAAGCCCUUUUGGGGCGGAGGCAUAGCGAAAGCGAGUGUUAAAAGCGCGAAUUAUAAUUGUAUAUUCAGGACCCGAAGCGUGACGAGCUUGCCAUGAGCAGGAUGAAUCCCGCCGAAAGGCGGGAGGAGGUCCGAACUAGUGAGGCGUGCAAUCCUCUUGGAUGAUUUGUGGCAAGGAGUGAAAAGCUAAUCGAGUUACGUAAUAGCUGGUUCUUCCCGAAACAGCUUUAGGGCUGGCGUCUAUUAACAGCACACGGGGGUAGAGCACUGAAUAGAAUUCCUUGGAGUUUCUCCAGGUUCUCUAAUCAAACUCCGAAUACCGUGUGUUUUGGAUAGGCAGUUAGACUGCGGGGGCUAAGCUCCGUGGUCAAAAAGGAAACAGCCUAGAUCAUCGUCUAAGGUCCCUAAAUUAGACUAAGUGUUUUUAAGGAAGUAUUUUGCCCUAGACAGGCAGGAAGUUAGCUUAGAGGUAGCUAUCUUUUAAAGAGUGUGUAACAACUCACUGCCCAAAGUCUUUCCUUUGGAAAGGCAGGGGCGAGAUGCGCCAAAGAUUAUCGGGACUAAAGUCUAAUACCGAAGACAUGGAUUACUGCUCCUCACUUUUGUUCGGAGCUCAUCAACGAAUAACGAAUCAAUACGAAUGUACGAAUUAGUAAAUUCGUAACAAAUUCGUAAUUCGAUGAUGAAGCGACGAGCAGUAGCGAGGAGCGGUAGUGGUAGGGAAGCAUUCUGAGGGCACUGAAGCCGAAGUGUAAACGACGGUGGAGCGCUCAGAAGAGAGAAUGUUGGCCUGAGUAACCGCAUUGCAGGUGAAAGCCCUGCACACCGAAAGUCCAAGGUUUCCUUGGCAAUGGUAUUCAACCAAGGGUUAGGCGGUCCUAAGGCAAACCCGAAAGGGGCAGCUGAUGGACAGUCGGUUAAUAUUCCGACCCUCGGAUACAUUUUGAUAGAAAGACGCAUUACAGUAGUUUCAGCGGAUUAUUGGAUUUCACGCUCUUGCACUAAGGUAAAUCAAGGUGCGAGAAAAGCCCCGCCUUUGGCGGGACAAUUGAGAUGAGCGCGAUGCCCAGAAAAAAGCUAUCAAGCUAAUUGUAUUCGAACCGUACCGCAAACCGACACAGGUGGACAAGCGUAAGUAUGCUAAGGUGAACGGGUGAAACCUCGUUAAGGAACUCGGCAAACAAGUGGCCGUAAGUUCGCAAUAUGGCCUUCCCUCCACCGCAAGGUGGUCGGGAUGCAACAAACGUACUUCAAGCGACUGUUUAUCAAAAACACAGCUCCCUGCUAACUCGUAAGAGGAUGUAUAGGGGGUGAGGCCUGACCAGUGUUGGAAUGUUAAGUUUGGGGGUCUGAGCCGUAAGGUUCAGGCUCACUGAAUGAAGCACCAAUGAACGUCGGCGAUAACUAUAAGAUGACGAUUGUAGUUAUAAAACUUCGCUAUAUGCUGGAAACUCUGUAGUAUCUGAUGCUACUAUGUUAUAAUAUAUUAAAGGUGUAUUUACCCCUUUGAUAUUAUGCAAAGUAAAAAAGCAUUCAGUGCAGACAAUCAGCAGGAAAGAAUAGAAAUAUGUGGAUGGAUUACUGGGUUUGUAGAUGGAGAAGGGUCUUUUCUUGUAAAUAUAUUUCAAUCUCCAAGAGCAAAAAAUAAAUGGCAAGUUUUUCCUGAAUUUAAUGUUUCACAAUCAUUAAAAGGAAAAGAUUUGCUUCAUAAAUUAGAAAAAUUUUUUGCUUGCGGACAUAUAUACGCGCACAACGCGAGAAAUAUAAAACAAGGAAAAUGGGACCCUCUCUAUAAAUAUUGCGUCAGAAAUAGAAGCGAAUUGCAAGAAAAAAUUAUUCCUUUUUUCAAAAAUUAUAAAUGUUUUGGCAAAGCCAAAAUAAAUGAUUUUGAAAGAUUUGUUAAAGUUAUUGAAAUGAUGGAUAAGGGAGAACACUUAACAAAAAAGGGAAUGAUAAAAAUUGCAAGAAUCGCAGAAAAAAUGACGCAUCGCAAACCAUUUGAAGAAUCCUCAAUAUACAAAUUUCUAUUAUCCUCAGAGACUAUACGCGAAGCCCGUCAAAAUUAAUUUUUUGAAACGGGAUGAUAUAGUCCGCUCUUUAUGGCGACAUAAAGGCUGUCCCGAGAUUUACCUCUCGAAGGACUAAUAAAAAGAGAGAAAUCGUCCAAAGGUAACAAACGCAAUUGCUUUUGUAAAACUUGGCUAUAUGCUGGAAACUCCGUUGUAUCCGACAUUACCCCGAUUGUAUCGUGGGUGAAAAUAUGUUCGGUGCGGACAAUCAGCAGGGAAGAAUAAAGGAGAAAGCCAUGAAAAAAAGAGAAGUAAGUGAAAGAGUGUAUCAAUUAACGUAUGAGGAACGAUAUAUUGAUUGUAGCGGUGGU